UUCCCUCUCCAAAGAAAUCACAAACCCCACGACUCCCCUCCCUAAAAAAAUCAAGAAACUCACGAUUUCCCUCUCCAAAUAAAUCAACCAACCCUUUGAAUCAAACCCUUCGAAACCCCUAACCAUUGAUUCCAUUCUUAAGCACCGUGACUUCCUCCAACGGCGACAACGGGUGAGACUUGUUCUCCGGCACCUUAGCUUGAGCGAGGCCACCUUCGAACAAAGAAAUUAAGAAGCGAUGGCGAGAGUCCCACUUGGAGCAUUCUCUAAACCAGCCAGAACUGUGGCAAUGGCAAUAUGUAACCUCUCCCUUUUUCUGCAUCUACAGUAAAAUAGAAAUCCCUUAGCCCUCUCCUACGUGCCUCCCAUAGUGAUCCCUAAAUCUCAUGGUGAUUCCAGUUGCCUCCGAGUAAAAUAGUUGUUCUUAUUGUCGCCGCUCAUCUUGCUCAUAUCGCAACUCUACAAAGGCAGUAGCUGCUGGGAGCCUAAUAUAUCGUGUAAUAGUUUUGUUUCUCAAUUCAAUUCGCGUAAGCUGUUCCUAUCCUGCAUUUUUUUACUGGCAGUGAUUAUAAAGUUGCAAUGCUUAUAAAUUUAAUUUAUUAUCUAGUUGA